rnacentral:rRNA from 1 species
AUUGAACGCUGGCGGCAGGCCUAACACAUGCCAGUCGAGCGGAUGAAGGGAGCUUGCUCCUGGAUUCAGCGGCGGACGGGUGGGUAAUGCCUAGGAAUCUGCCUGGUAGUGGGGGAUAACGUCCGGAAACGGGCGCUAAUACCGCAUACGUCCUGAGGGAGAAAGUGGGGGAUCUUCGGACCUCACGCUAUCAGAUGAGCCUAGGUCGGAUUAGCUAGUUGGUGGGGUAAAGGCCUACCAAGGCGACGAUCCGUAACUGGUCUGAGAGGAUGAUCAGUCACACUGGAACUGAGACACGGUACAGACUCCUACGGGAGGCAGCAGUGGGGAAUAUUGGACAAUGGGCGAAAGCCUGAUCCAGCCAUGCCGCGUGUGUGAAGAAGGUCUUCGGAUUGUAAAGCACUUUAAGUUGGGAGGAAGGGCAGUAAGUUAAUACCUUGCUGUUUUGACGUUACCAACAGAAUAAGCACCGGCGAACUUCGU